GGAUUCCCCUAGUAACGGCGAGUGAAGCGGGAAGAGCUCAAAUUUAAAAUCUGGCAGUGUAUUCUGUCCGAGUUGUAGUCUAGAGAAGCAUCAUCCGUGCUGGACCAUGUACAAGUCUCUUGGAACAGAGCGUCAUAGAGGGUGAGAAUCCCGUCCUUGACAUGGACUCCCAGUACUUUGUGUUGUGCUCUCAACGAGUCGAGUUGUUUGGGAAUGCAGCUCAAAAUGGGUGGUAAAUUCCAUCUAAAGCUAAAUAUUGGCGAGAGACCGAUAGCGAACAAGUACCGUGAGGGAAAGAUGAAAAGCACUUUGGAGAGAGAGUUAAACAGUACGUGAAAUUGUUGAAAUGGAAACGCUUGAAGUCAGUCGCGUUCUCUGGGAUUCAGCCUGGCUUUUGCUUGGUGCAUUUCCCGGUCUACGGGCCAGCAUGAAUUUUGACCAAUGGAAAAAGGCUUGGGGAAUGUGGCACCUUCGGGUGUGUUAUAGCCCCUUGUCACAUACGUUGGUUGGGAUUGAGGUCUUAGUGCACGCUUCGGUUGUGCUUUGAUGCUGGCGUAAUGGCUUUAAACGACCCGUCUUGAAACACGGACCAAGGAGUCUAACAUGUCUGCGAGUGUUUGGGUGCAAAACCCGAGCGCGAAAUGAAAGUGAUAGUUGGGAACCUCUUCAGAGGGGCACCGACCCCCGGACCAGACCUUCUGUGACGGAUCCAAGGUAGAGCAUAUAUCUUGGGACCCGAAAGAUGGUGAACUAUGCCUGCAUAGGGUGAAGCCAGAGGAAACUCUGGUGGAGGCUCGUAGCGAUUCUGACGUGCAAUCGAUCGUCAAAUGUGGGUAUAGGGGCAAAAGAAUAAUCGAACCAUUGGGUUUGCUACUUGGGGGUUUAAAAGGAAAUCUGAAAGGAUUUAUGACCUAGUGAGCGUUGAGGCUUGCAACACUGUCAAAUUGCGGGACGUCCUAAAGCUUUGCAACCAAGCAUUUGUGG
rnacentral:rRNA from 1 species